rnacentral:rRNA from 1 species
GACGAACGCUGGCGGCGUGCUUAACACAUGCAAGUCGAACGAAGUGGCGGACGGGUGAGUAACGCGUAAUCAACCUGCCCUUCAGAGGGGGACAACAGUUGGAAACGACUGCUAAUACCGCAUACUGAAGGAGGGGCUUGCGUCUGAUUAGCUAGUUGGAGGGGUAACGGCCCACCAAGGCGAAGAUCAGUAGCCGGUCGGGGGGGGUGGACGGGCACAUUGGGACUGAGGCACGGGCCAGACUCCUUAGGGAGGCAGCAGGGGGGAAACUUCCGCAAUGGGCGAAAGUCUGACGGAGCAAAGCCGCGGGAGUGAUGACGGCCUUCGGGUUGGAAAGCUCUGUUAAUCGGGACGCGGUACCGGAAUAGAAAGCCACGGCUAACUACGUGCCAGCAGCCGCGGUAAUAC